rnacentral:rRNA from 1 species
GACGAACGCUGGCGGCGUGCCUAACACAUGCAAGUCGAACGGAUUUGUGAGGUGUGAGGUUAGAGGUUAGAGGUGAGAAAUUCUAAGGAAGAAAUCGGCGCAGGCCGAUUUCAACAAGAUUCUCACAUCCAACUUCUCACCUCGCACUUCGCAAAUUAGUGGCGGACGGGUGAGUAACGCGUGGAUGACCUACCUAUAUGUGGGGGAUAACAGUUGGAAACGACUGCUAAUACCGCAUGUGAUCACAAUUAUAAAGGUUGUGAGGAAAGAUGGCCUCUGUUUACAAGCUGUCGCAUAUAGAUGGGGUCCGCGUCUGAUUAGCUAGUUGGUAGGGUAAAGGCCUACAAGGCGACGAUCAGUAGCCGGCCUGAGAGGGUGGACGGCCACACUGGGACUGAGACACGGCCCAGACUCCUACGGGAGGCAGCAGUGGGGAAUAUUGCGCAAUGGGGGAAACCCUGACCGCAGCGACGCCGCGUGAGCGAAAGAAGGUACCCG